rnacentral:rRNA from 1 species
UAGAGUUUGAUCCUGGCUCAGGAUGAACGCUAGCGGCAGGCUUAAUACAUGCAAGUCGAGGGGCAGCAGGGGUGUAGCAAUACACUCGCUGGCGACCGGCAAACGGGUGCGGAACACGUACGCAACCUUCNNNAAACUGGGGGAUAGCCCGGGGAAACCCGGAUUAAUACCUCGUAACAUCAUGAAGUGGCAUCACUUUAUGAUUAUAGCUCCGGCGGUUUUGGAUGGGCGUGCGCCUGAUUAGGUAGUUGGCGGGGUAACGGCCCACCAAGCCUACGAUCAGUAACUGGUGUGAGAGCACGACCAGUCACACGGGCACUGAGACACGGGCCCGACUCCUACGGGAGGCAGCAGUAAGGAAUAUUGGUCAAUGGACGCAAGUCUGAACCAGCCAUGCCGCGUGAAGGAUGAAGGUCCUCUGGAUUGUAAACUUCUUUUAUAUGGGACGAAACCCCUUUUUCUUGAGGGACUGACGGUACCAUAGGAAUAAGCACCGGCUAACUCCGUGCCAGCAGCCGCGGUAAUACGGAGGGUGCAAGCGUUAUCCGGAUUCACUGGGUUUAAAGGGUGCGUAGGAGGGCAGGUAAGUCAGUGGUGAAAUCCCCGAGCUUAACUUGGGAACUGCCGUUGAUACUAUCUGUCUUGAAUACCGUGGAGGUGAGCGGAAUAUGUCAUGUAGCG